rnacentral:rRNA from 1 species
ACGAACGCUGGCGGCAGGCCUAACACAUGCAAGUCGAACGCCGUAGCAAUACGGAGUGGCAGACGGGUGAGUAACACGUGGGAACGUACCCUUCGGUUCGGGAUAACUCAGGGAAACUUGAGCUAAUACCGGAUACGUCCGAGAGGAGAAAGAUUUAUUGCCGAGGGAUCGGCCCGCGUCUGAUUAGCUUGUGGUGAGGUAACGGCUCACCAAGGCGACGAUCAGUAGCUGGCUGAGAGAUGAUCAGCCACAUUGGGACUGAGACACGGCCCAAACUCCUACGGGAGGCAGCAGUGGGGAAUAUUGGACAAUGGGCGCAAGCCUGAUCCAGCCAUGCCGCGUGAGUGAUGAAGGCCCUAGGGUUGUAAA